GUCUGCCCGGCGAUGGCGACGCUGCAGCCGCUGGAGCCGGGGCCACCGGGGAUCUCGGCGGGACCUGGCGGCAGCGAGGACGCGGACCCUGGAGAGAUGGGAGGGGCGCGCCCCGAGCCCGAGCCCCACCCGGACCCGGCUGCCGUCGGCCUAGCCAGGGCCGGGGCGGACACCGUCGAGGACGAAGCCGGGCCCGCGCCCCUGGGCGACCCGUUGAGCCGCGGAGCCCCGCGGGGUGGAGCCGGGCCAGGCCCAUCCGCUCCGGGCGCGGGCAGCUGGCGUCGCGGGUGGGUCAGAACCCAGGACACGCCCAGGAGUCCGACCUCAUGGCGCUGCAGGGCCUGGGGAGUGGGGGCUGGGGACAGCGCCAGGGCCAACCCGACGCCAGCACCCCCGGCAGACCCCAGGAGCCGCCUGUGAAGAGACUGGAUAGGUGCAUUAAGCGAUCAGAAAAGUCACUGGCUGGCCCUGUUGAUGAGCAGAACGCUUUCAGAGAAGUGUAUGCUCACGCAGUGCUUGGACAGCAUUC
rnacentral:lncRNA from 1 species